rnacentral:rRNA from 1 species
GAGCGGGCGUAGCAAUACGUAAGCGGCAGACGGGUGAGUAACGCGUGGGAACGUACCUUUUGGUUCGGAACAACACAGGGAAACUUGUGCUAAUACCGGAUAAGCCCUUACGGGGAAAGAUUUAUCGCCGAAAGAUCGGCCCGCGUCUGAUUAGCUAGUUGGUGAGGUAACGGCUCACCAAGGCGACGAUCAGUAGCUGGUCUGAGAGGAUGAUCAGCCACAUUGGGACUGAGACACGGCCCAAACUCCUACGGGAGGCAGCAGUGGGGAAUAUUGGACAAUGGGCGCAAGCCUGAUCCAGCCAUGCCGCGUGAGUGAUGAAGGCCCUAGGGUUGUAAAGCUCUUUUGUGCGGGAAGAUAAUGACGGUACCGCAAGAAUAAGCCCCGGCUAACUUCGUGCCAGCAGCCGCGGUAAU